AGAAGACCAGCCCAACACAUAAUAAUACCCCUCUCCUACAUCUCAUAUAAAUAUAUAUAUAGCUCUCGUUCUCUCUCCCGUCUUCCGGAGAACGAAAGAACCCCAGAGAGAACAGGGAGGCGGAUCAAUGCUGUGAGGGUUCCACCUCCAUCCCCUCCUCACCCCACCCCAAUCCCUCUCAUCUUCUAUAUAACCUCCCCUCCUCCCUUCCUCACUCUCCUCCCCUUGUAGAAGUCCACCAUUGCCCCCUCCUCUAUACGAUUGAAACCAAGCGCCCGUCCUAAUCCCUCACCUUCAAGGACACCAUCUCCAGGUACCCCUCAACCCAGCGCUUCUUCCUAUAUUUUUAGUUCUCCAUCGAUCUCCCAAGAAAGUGUAGAGAGUUCGCCCGCACAAACGAACGGAAACCCUCAAAAGAUUUCUUAGAAAAUCCGUCGAAUUCUCGAAUUAUAAAGCCUUCGAGUUCCCAAAGCUUCUCUCCGCUUCUUGUUUCCCCGAAUUAGGGUUUUGCCUCCAUGAGCCGGAGGGUGAGGAGGCGAGGCGCGCAGUCGAAGGACAAGGCCAAGGUCAUCAUCUCCCCGGCCUUCCCCGAGACCGCUGAGGACUGCGAGAUCCCCCACCCCGGUGGCGGCGGCGGCGGCGGCGACGAACACCGGGUCCUGGAGACCGCUGUGGACUGGACCUCCCUCCCCGACGACACCGUGGUCCAGCUCUUCUCCUGCCUCAACUACCGGGACCGCGCCAGCCUCGCUUCCACCUGCCGAUCCUGGCGCCUUCUUGGCUCCACCCCCUGCCUCUGGACCAGUCUUGACCUCCGCUCCCACCGCUGCGACCCCGACACUGCUGCCGCACUUGCCGGCCGGUGCGCCCACCUCCGCCACCUCCACUUCCGGGGCGCAGAUGCUGCUGCUGCUGUCAUGAACCUCCAGGCCCGCGGACUGCAAGAGAUUGCCGGGGAGAACUGCUGUGACAUCACCGACGCCACGCUGUCGGUGAUUGCUGCCCGCCACGAGGCCCUUGAGAGCCUCCAGAUCGCUCCUGACCCGUGCGAGAGAAUCACCAGCGAUGCUAUCCGUCAUGUUGCCAUGUGCUGCACGAAGUUGAGGAGGCUGCGCCUCUCCGGCAUCCGAGAGGUUGACGGAGAGGCGGUUGGGGCCCUUGCAAGGCACUGCCCGCAGUUGGAGGAGAUUGCCUUCUUGGAUUGUGGGAGCAUCGACGAGACUGCUCUUGGGAAGGUCGUGUCCCUGAGAUUCUUAUCCGUGGCAGGUUCACGGAACUUGAAGUGGGUUACUGCCUCCCUUUCCUGGAGCAAGCUUCCGAACUUGAUUGGUUUGGAUAUUUCAAGGACCGACGUGUCCCCAAGUGCCGUCUCAAGGCUUCUCUCCCUGUCCAAAAGCUUGAAGGUGUUGUGCGCUCUCAACUGUGCGGCACUCGAGGAGGAAGGGAGUCACAGUCCGAUGGCAUUUAGCAAUACCAGGGGCAAGCUGCUGCUUGCCCUUUUCAAUGAUAUAUUCAAAGGGAUUGCUUCUUUGUUCAAGGGUUUUGUGGUAAAGGAGCGGGGAAUCUUUGGGGAAUGGAGGAGUUGGCAAAAUAAGGAUAAGAACCUGAAUGAUAUCAUGAGCUGGAUUGAGUGGAUCCUGUCGCAAUCACUGCUUCGUAUUGCGGAGACAAACCCACAUGGCAUUGAUGAGUUUUGGUUAAGGCAAGGUGCUGCAUUGUUGCUGAGCUUGGUGAAGAGCUCGCAGGAGGAUGUGCAAGAGAGAGCAGCAACUGGGCUUGCUACAUUUGUGGUGAUUGAUGAUGAGAAUGCAACGGUGGACCCGGCGAGGGCAGAGGUGGUGAUGCGGAAUGGUGGGAUUCCUUUGCUUUUGGAGCUUGCAACAUCUUGUCGGGAAGGUUUACAGUCUGAAGCUGCAAAGGCCAUUGCGAACUUGUCAGUGAAUGCCAAAGUUGCGAAAGCAGUUGCUGAUGAAGGGGGUAUCAGCAUUCUUGCAGAUCUGGCAAGAUCCUUGAACAGGUUAGUUGCUGAAGAGGCUGCCGGAGGGCUUUGGAAUCUUUCUGUGGGAGAAGAGCACAAGGCGGCCAUUGCUGAGGCUGGUGGGGUAAAAGCUUUGGUGGAUCUUAUUUUCAAAUGGCCCUCUGGGAUAGAUGGAGUUCUUGAACGUGCUGCUGGUGCCCUUGCAAAUUUGGCUGCUGAUGACAAGUGCAGCAUGGAGGUUGCUGUGGCUGGGGGUGUCCAUGCAUUAGUAAAGCUUGCUCGGUUGUGCAAGGUUGAGGGAGUACAAGAACAGGCUGCUCGGGCUUUAGCUAAUCUGGCUGCUCAUGGAGAUAGCAAUAAUAAUAAUGCUGCUGUUGGUCAAGAGGCGGGUGCGCUUGAGGCAUUGGUGCAGCUAACUUGUUCACAAAAUGAAGGUGUAAGACAAGAAGCUGCUGGUGCUUUGUGGAAUUUAUCAUUUGAUGAUAGAAAUCGAGAAGCAAUUGCUGCAGUUGGUGGGGUUGAAGCCUUGGUGGCUCUUGCACAAGGAUGCUCAAAUGCUUCUCAAGGACUUCAAGAGAGGGCUGCAGGUGCUUUGUGGGGAUUGUCGGUAUCAGAAGCUAAUAGCAUUGCCAUUGGACGACAAGGUGGUGUUGCACCUCUAAUUGCAUUGGCACGGUCGGAUGCUGAAGAUGUUCAUGAGACUGCUGCUGGUGCACUUUGGAAUCUUGCUUUUAAUUCUGGUAAUGCUCUUCGCAUAGUUGAAGAAGGGGGGGUUCCAGCCCUUGUACACCUGUGCACAUCAUCAGGAUCAAAAAUGGCUCGUUUUAUGGCUGCAUUGGCACUUGCUUACAUGUUUGAUGGGAGAAUGGAUGAGGUUGCAUUGGUUGGGGCUUCUUCAGAAGGUGCUUCGAAGAAUGUUAACUUUGAUGCUGCUCGAAGGAUGGCAUUGAAGCAUAUAAAAGACUUGGUGCUGUCGUUUUCGGAGCCACAACUCUUCUCCAUGGCUGCAGCAUCCUCAGCUCCUGCAGCCUUGGCACAGGUAGCUGAAGCAGCACGCAUACAGGAAGCAGGACAUCUGAGAUGCAGUGGUGCCGAGAUUGGGAGAUUUGUUGCCAUGCUGCGGAACCCAUCAUCCAUUCUUCGAGCCUGUGCAGCUUUUGCUCUUCUUCAGUUCACCAUCCCAGGAGGCAGGCACGCAAUGCAUCAUGCGGGCCUCUUGCAGAAAGCUGGAGCAGCACGGGUCCUACGUGCUGCUGCUGCAGCUGCAACAGCUCCUAUUGAAGCGAAAAUUUUUGCAAGGAUAGUGCUCAGGAAUCUUGAACACCACCAGCUGGAAGCUUCAAUAUAAAGUUUGACAUAAAGAAAGUUUACUUCAGCAUUUAGCAUCAGCGGUCGAACUCUUUAUUCUGCCAUGCACGAGUUGAAAUGGUGCCGGGAUUUGAAUUCUCCUCUCUGAAAAUGCAGAUUCCUUGGUUACUGAAGCUUCUGUUCCUCAAUGGGGUUUGGCUUUCCUCCAUUAAACCGGUUCAUAUCCUGAGACCUAGAUCCUUGACAAAUAGAAUUGAGUUGGGGCUUGCUUGUUCUUGUUAAUUAGGUAUUUAUUAAAUUGGCUUGGCUUGUGUGUGAUGAUUAGGGUGUGUGGUGCAUUUUUUUCUAUUUAUUUGGAGUGUAAAAGAAGGUGCUGGCUGUUCAAGAAUACCAGUAUCUACUGAUUUAUUUCACAAGGUUCCUUCAGACAUUUUAUACAAGCGAGCAUGGAAAUCUCUGGUCUGUAUGCUUGCUUUCAAGACUGACUUAUCUUUGAAGAUUGGUUUCCCUCGGCUUAUAUCAUUGCUAAAGUUCUGAUUACUUCUUCUGAUGCCGGUUAUAAUUCAUGACUGGUCUUCCUGGUUUGGUGGGGGGAGGCUGCAAGUGACAGAUUUAACUUGAGAUCGAAACCCAUCUCUGGUGUUAUGUAUAAGAUUCAAAUAGUGACAUGAUCCUGUGAGGGCAAGGUUUGGUUAUGUAUAAGAUUCAAAUAGUGACGCGAUCCUUAACGAUUUGUUGUGGCCUUUUACAUUGUUAAGGCCAGGACUCUGCACUCCCUGCAAAUAAGGGGAACGUUCACGGUUGUAUAUGAAUGUUCCAUGUUUGGUCCUAUUAGCGUCACUUUUGUUUGCUGGCGUUACAGGCUUAUGUGAUCGGUUAAAUAUGAGAAUGGGAGCAAUAUUUGACC